UACGUAGGGGGCUAGCGUUGUCCGGAAUCAUUGGGCGUAAAGAGCGUGUAGGCGGUCCGGUAAGUCCGUUGUGAAAGUCAGGGGCUCAACCCUUGAAUGCCGGCGGAUACUGUCGGGCUAGAGUCCGGAAGAGGCGAGUGGAAUUCCUGGUGUAGCGGUGGAAUGCGCAGAUAUCAGGAGGAACACCAAUAGCGAAGGCAGCUCGCUGGGACGGUACUGACGCUAAGGCGCGAAAGCGUGGGGAGCGAACAGG
rnacentral:rRNA from 1 species